rnacentral:rRNA from 1 species
GACGAACGCUGGCGGCGUGCCUAAUACAUGCAAGUAGAACGCUGAAGGAGGAGCUUGCUCUUCUGGAUGAGUUGCGAACGGGUGAGUAACGCGUAGGUAACCUGCCUGGUAGCGGGGGAUAACUAUUGGAAACGAUAGCUAAUACCGCAUAAGAGUAGAUGUUGCAUGACAUUUACUUAAAAGGUGCAAUUGCAUCACUACCAGAUGGACCUGCGUUGUAUUAGCUAGUUGGUGGGGUAACGGCCUACCAAGGCGACGAUACAUAGCCGACCUGAGAGGGUGAUCGGCCACACUGGGACUGAGACACGGCCCAGACUCCUACGGGAGGCAGCAGUAGGGAAUCUUCGGCAAUGGACGGAAGUCUGACCGAGCAACGCCGCGUGAGUGAAGAAGGUUUUCGGAUCGUAAAGCUCUGUUGUAAGAGAAGAACGAGUGUGAGAGUGGAAAGUUCACACUGUGACGGUAUCUUACCAGAAAGGGACGGCUAACUACGUG